CGGUACCGAUUAUUUAUAAUCGGGAUAGUGGCGAAAGGGUUAGUAAUAGAUAGGUAACGUACCCUGUGCUUCGGAAUAGCGUCAUUCGCCUUCGGGCGAAUUUCCGAAAGGGACGGUAAUACCGAAUAAUAUCAGUUGUCGAUGGGCAACUGAUCAAAGAUUUAUCGGCAUUGGAGCGGCCUAUCUCCUAUCAGCUUGUUGGUGAGGUAACGGCUCACCAAGGCAGCGACGGGUAGCGGGACUGAGAGGUUGGCCCGCAACAUCGGGACUGAGACACUGCCCGGACCUCCACGGAGGGCUGCAGUAACGAAUAUUGCGCAAUGGGCGAAAGCCUGACGCAGCGACGCCGCGUGCGGGAGGAAGUCCUUCGGGAUGUAAACCGCUGUCAGGGGUAAGAAAGUCCGCUUCGGCGGAUUGAUCUAACCCAAAGGAAGUCACGGCUAACUUCGUGCCAGCAGCCGCGGUAAGACGAAGGUGGCGAGCGUUGUUCGGUGUUACUGGGCUUAAAGCGUGUGUAGGCGGGUUGGUUAGCGUCUUGUGAAAUCCCUCGGCUUAACCGAGGAAUGGCUGGGCGAACUGCCAACCUUGAGGCAGGCAGGGGCGCAUGGAACUCUUGGUGGAGCGGUGGAAUGCGUAGAUAUCAAGAGGAACGCCGAUGGAGAAAUCAGUGCGCUGGGCCUGUCCUGACGCUGAUACACGAAAGCGUGGGGAGCGAACGGGAUUAGAUACCCCGG
rnacentral:rRNA from 1 species